CGGCCCCGCUCCCAGGGCGCGGCCGAGCCCGCUGCCCCGUUGCUGCCUCGCGGCACCUCGUAGCCAGGCUUCCCCAGCUUCUAAAAUUAGCUCCCCGAAAAACAGGAGAAAGCCGUGAACUCUGAAGUUUACUUACAUCCCAGUCUGAAUCAUGCACGCUUGGGGUGCAGCUCAGCAGUGAAGGGUUUGAAAAGCAUCGCAGACACAGAAGGGCUUUGGCUCCCUGAAACUUGGCAGGCAAACCACCCUUAAUCUUCAGACCUUCUCAGAGGCUCCCAACAUAAUUACAUGGUAUAAAUGAGCAAUCAAAUUCAUGGAUUAAGAAGCUCUGAGGACCAGCUGCAGACCACUCACCAAACCUUCUCGUGCCAUCUGUGUUUUGGAACCUCUGAUCUUUAAGACAUCUUGCUUCAUGGAAAGACCAUGCAAGACUAGCUGGACUUCAUAACCCACUUCUUCCUUGAAUGUGAAUAAAUGAAGGUUAUGUUAACA
rnacentral:lncRNA from 1 species